GGGCCCGCACAAGCGGUGGAGCAUGUGGUUUAAUUCGAUGAUGACGCGACGGAGCAUGAACCAGCUUUAAUCCGAAGGCUUAAUGGGAAAUGACAGGGGCAGAGACGCCCCCUUCUUCGGACAUUUUUCAAGGUGCUGCAUGGUUGUCGUCAGCUCGUGCCGUGAGGUGUCAGGUUAAGUCCUAUAACGAGCGCAACCCUUGUCCUUAGUUGCCAGCACUUCGGGUGGGAACUCUAAGGAGACUGCCGGUGCAAACCGUGAGGAAGGUGGGGAUGACGUCAAAUCAUCACGGCCCUUACGUCCUGGCUACACACGUGCUACAAUGGUAGGGACAGAGAGCAGCCACUACGCGAGUAGGAGCG
rnacentral:rRNA from 1 species